rnacentral:rRNA from 1 species
GAUCCUGGCUCAGGACGAACGCUGGCGGCGCGCCUAACACAUGCAAGUCGAACGGAGUUAGAUAGCGGAAGUUUUCGGAUGGAAGCGAUUUAACUUAGUGGCGAACGGGUGAGUAACACGUGAGGAACCUGCCUUUCAGUGGGGGACAACAGUUGGAAACGACUGCUAAUACCGCAUAAGACCACAGCACCGCAUGGUGCAGNGAUCAAAGGAUUUAUUCGCUGAAAGAUGGACUCGCGUCCGA